GCAGGGCUUGCUGGGUUGGGCAGUUCCACAGCAGCUGGAGCGCCAGAGUUUGUCUACUUCACCAGUCAGUAGUCAGGUUGCCAUGGGGACAGCCACGGCACCCUGCUGACAGGCACGCAUAAUGACACUUUCGCACAUGUGACCACGAUGGGGAGCGGAAGUGAAGGAUGCGGAAGCCUGGCGGGAGCGUUUGGGAGGCAGCUGGAGGCAGCGCUGGAGUGUUGGCCAAGUUGGGACUAGCUGUUGUGAACAACCUGGUCACUGUCAGAGGCAGCUUAACAUACAAAGUAAUGUUGAAUGAUGAUGACAGUUCCGAAACUUUGUCUGCGCUGUGGCACUAGCAGUGGGAAGGAAAUGGAGAGAUGAUUUAUGACACACUUUAUUGUAAAAAAAUAAAAAAUAAAGACACAGUGUAUCAUU